GUAGGGAAUAUUGGGCAAUGGAGGCAACUCUGACCCAGCCAUGCCGCGUGCAGGAUGACGGCCCUCUGGGUUGUAAACUGCUUUUAUACGGGAAGAAAAAAUACUACGUGUAGUAUACUGACGGUACCGUAAGAAUAAGGAUCGGCUAACCCCGUGCCAGCAGCCGCGGUAAUACGGAGGAUCCAAGCGUUGUCCGGAUUUAUUGGGUUUAAAGGGUGCGUAGGCGGAUCUUUAAGUCAGUGGUGAAAGCCUGCAGCUUAACUGUAGAAUUGCCAUUGAAACUGAAGAUCUUGAAUGUGGUUAAAGUAGGCGGAAUGUAUCAUGUAGCGGUGAAAUGCUUAGAUAUGAUACAGAACACCGAUAGCGAAGGCAGCUUGCUGAACCAUUAUUGACGCUGAGGCACGAAAGCGUGGGGAGCGAACAGGAUUAGAAACCCCGGUAGUCC
rnacentral:rRNA from 1 species